CUUUUUUGGAGAGUUUGAUCCUGGCUCAGGAUGAACGCUGGCGGCGUGCCUAAUACAUGCAAGUCGAGCGGGAGAAUCAUCCUUCGGGAUGAGGAUCCAGCGGCGAACGGGUGAGUAACACGUGGGCAACCUGCCCGCAAGACCGGGAUAACUCCGGGAAACCGGGGCUAAUACCGGAUAGGCCAUUUCCCCGCAUGGGGAAAUGGGGAAAGGCGGCUUCGGCUGUCACUUGCGGAUGGGCCCGCGGCGCAUUAG
rnacentral:rRNA from 1 species